CAAACCCCAGUUCCCAUAUGAUCAGUGAAGUUAAGCAACAUCAAGCCUGGUCAGUACCUAGAUGGGAGACUGCUUAGUAAUACCUGGUGG